rnacentral:rRNA from 1 species
AUGCUCCUCCACCGCCGUAUCCCCGCAAACCUGCGCAGGCCCGACUCGAUCCUCUCCUUCUCAUCUGUGCCGCCUGUCGCUCCGUCGCCAUCGCCACCGAGGAUGGCCUCUCCGAGGCAUCUGGCCAGUACGACGCCGUCCUCCAGCGCCGCGCAGCCGCCCUGGCCCAGGUCCGGCGUCAUCGGGUGCAGCGCGUCGCCGGCCACGCACACGUUCCCCUUGCUGAUGCCCGCGAACACGAGCGAGAGCGGCGGCCGGAACCUCAGCGGCGUGGCGGGCGCGUCGUCGCUCCUCUCCACCAAUUCCAGCGCCUCCGCGGGCACCUUGGAGCUCCUCAGCUUCGUCAGCACGUACUGCUUCAUCUUGGUACCGCUCUCCUCGGCACCAUCAUCAUCUGCACGUCAGUCAAGGCGAGACGGUAAAUGGACAUCCGUGGAUCGCAGUCGCCAUGGAUGCAGAGAGUAA